CCAGUCCCUCUGUUUGGGGUCCCUGACUUCCCGCAACAGUGUCUUCUACUUCUGGCCUUGGCCUCACUCCCAGAUCCCACUGCUUCAUAGCCACCCACCCCUCCAGGACCCACCCAAGACGUGCAUUCUCUCACCGUGUCUGCUGGUGCCUCCACUAAAGCCUCCAAAACAGCAGGGAGAAGGGAUCAUGCUCACAUGGCCUUGACCAAACCCCAGCCUUAUGCUGUAGCAGGACGAGCCACAGACAAAACUCCUCAGACACCGAGUUAAAGAAGGAAGGGGUUUAUUCGGCCGGGGGCAUCGGCAAGACUCCUGUCUCAAGAGCCGAGCUCCCCAAAAAGCCUUCAGAAGCAGCCAGUCCCGGGCCGCCUCCACCUCGGAGAGGCUAGCAGGCAGGGAUGCCAUUUCCACAUCACCAAGGGAGAAAGCAAGUUUGGCAAGGUGGCGUGGCAUGCCCGAGAUGACCCAGUUCUGCAUGCCCACCUGCCCGCCUGCACAUGCUCUUGCUAACGUGAGUAGUGUUUGGACGAACGGAGGCAAGAUGGCUGCAUUUCCGGGUUCUUCAUCACCAACUUUUCCCUUGUGCGCGAAAAUGCAGCUGGCACCCGGGAAGGUGCAGAUCAACCAGGCAUGCGCCAGGUGAUGUCAAUCCGAAGAGACCAAGAUUUACCUGGUGGCACCUGUGGAGCCCCUCGCCCUCCCCGACACGUCCGUGCCCCGUCUAUUGCCCUUCCACUCCUAGAAAAGCCGCUCCUGGCAGACGCACAGGGCGGGCUUCCUCAGCCCCCACCUUUGUUGGGACUGCAUUAGGAACUCUGCCUGAGAGCUCUACCGGGUGACUCUCUCGGCCUCCUUUGCCGGAGGCCAACAGACUUCACCCCCAUACCUUUUUCCCUGGAGCUAGAUGACCAAAGAAUAAAUUUGCAGUUUUGCUUUUA